rnacentral:siRNA from 1 species
CCAGACAUUGGACUACCAUAAGG